GACGAACGCUGGCGGCGUGCUUAACACAUGCAAGUCGAACGGAAAGGCCCUGCUUUUGUGGGGUGCUCGAGUGGCGAACGGGUGAGUAACACGUGAGUAACCUGCCCUUGACUUUGGGAUAACUUCAGGAAACUGGGGCUAAUACCGGAUAGGAGCUCCUGCUGCAUGGUGGGGGUUGGAAAGUUUCGGCGGUUGGGGAUGGACUCGCGGCUUAUCAGCUUGUUGGUGGGGUAGUGGCUUACCAAGGCUUUGACGGGUAGCCGGCCUGAGAGGGUGACCGGCCGCAUUGGGACUGAGAUACGGCCCAGACUCCUACGGGAGGCAGCAGUGGGGAAUAUUGCACAAUGGGCGGAAGCCUGAUGCAGCAACGCCGCGUGCGGGAUGACGGCCUUCAGGUUGUAAACCGCUUUCGCCUGUGACGAAGCGUGAGUGACGGUAAUGGGUAAAGAAGCACCGGCUAACUACGUG
rnacentral:rRNA from 1 species